rnacentral:rRNA from 1 species
GUCUAUGGCCAUGCCACCCUGGACAAGCCUGAUGUCUAAUCUCAGAGGCUAAGUAGGUUAGUACUUGGAUGGGAGACCACUUAGGAAGACCAGGUGCUGUAGGCA